rnacentral:rRNA from 1 species
GACGAACGCUGGCGGCGUGCUUAACACAUGCCAGUCGAACGGAAAGGCCCUGCUUUUGUGGGGUGCUCGAGUGGCGAACGGGUGAGUAACACGUGAGUAACCUGCCCUUGACUUUGGGAUAACUUCAGGAAACUGGGGCUAAUACCGGAUAGGAGCUCCUGCUGCAUGGUGGGGGUUGGAAAGUUUCGGCGGUUGGGGAUGGACUCGCGGCUUAUCAGCUUGUUGGUGGGGUAGUGGCUUACCAAGGCUUUGACGGGUAGCCGGCCUGAGAGGGUGACCGGCCACAUUGGGACUGAGGUACGGCCCAGACUCCUACGGGGGGCAGCAGUGGGGAAUAUUGCACAAUGGGCGGAAGCCUGAUGCAGCAACGCCGCGUGCGGGAUGACGGCCUUCGGGUUGUAAACCGCUUUCGCCUGUGACGAAGCGUGAGUGACGGUAAUGGGUAAAGAAGCACCGGCUAACUACGUG